GGUGAAGUGUCUGAGAGGAUUAAAGAAUACGUUUGGAAAACGUAUAUAUGUAUUUCAUAUCAAGGGUUCGAAUCCCUUCUUCACCU
rnacentral:tRNA from 1 species